AUGAAGAGAAAAAAAAAAUACAGAGAAUUUUACAAGUUGAGAUUCCUAAGUAUCUGCAAAUGUCCUUAAUUAUAGUGUUCCGACUCUUACACUUCACUUUACCCCAGUGCCACUGUGUCCAACAUUUCUUCAUAUGGAUUCAAAUGGUUCAUAGCCAAAGCCAUAUGAGCCCCUAAUGACAUGACAUUAUUAUGUAGUUGAUGCAUUCCAUUGAAAUUUCAAGAACACUUGAAGGGUAAUACCACAUGUCCUUCCAUAGUUGGCAAUUUUCCGG
rnacentral:misc_RNA from 1 species